rnacentral:rRNA from 1 species
UAGGGAAUCUUCCACAAUGGGCGAAAGCCUGAUGGAGCAACGCCGCGUGUGUGAUGGAGGGUUUCGGCUCGUAAAACACUGUUGUAAGAGAAGAAUGGCAUUGAGAGUAACUGUUCAAUGUGUGACGGUAUCUUACCAGAAAGGAACGGCUAAAUACGUGCCAG